GCCCGAAUAGCAAAAUACCCUUUGUCAUAAUGUCCAAACAGUAAAUUCAUUGCAUCCGUCAAGUGCCAAACUGUUAAUGAAAAAAAGCAAAAAAAAAAACAGAUUUCGCAACCAUGACCGGUAACCGGUUGGCCAAUCCGGCUGAAAAGGGGACAUAUUCCGCCAUAA